rnacentral:snRNA from 17 species
CUGUUUGCCUAGUAGGGGAGACACCAUGGUUGUGCAAGGUGGGUUUGCUAGGGUGAAGCCAAUUCUUCACACUCCAGAUGUGCUGAUCCCUGUAAUUUCCCAGGAACCUCAGCUGCAUAAUUUUUGGUAGGAGGAGAUUGUCUGCACCUUUCCCUG